rnacentral:misc_RNA from 1 species
GUUCAACAGUCACGUCAGACCAAUCUGCUUGCCAGACCAAGCUGACACCACUGGGCGGUGGUGUGCUGUCAGUGGCUGGGGAUACCAGGCAGAGGGUACUGAAAAUUUCGCGCCAGUGUUAAGGGCAGCGGCCGUGCCAGUACUGGACCAGACUACUUGCAGGAAGGAGAAAGUGCUAGGAGGUUGUCAGCAGACAAUAUUAGAUUCCAUGUUGUGUGCUGGU